rnacentral:lncRNA from 1 species
AGAGAUGUGAAAACUGGAAGAGAAACAGGAAGUACCUCCAGGAUUCGCCUAAAUAGAUGCUGCGGUUUCCAUCAAACCACAGGCCACCCCAGUAUCUCAGUGGCUUCUAUAGGUUGUCCUGAAAGAGCCAUGAGGCCAGACACCAAUUCCACCCUCCACCUUUCUGUGUCCGUCCCAGACCAAGGCAGCCCAGGACUGGUAUCCUUCUAAGAAGAGGAAGGCACAUCAGAGGAGAGGCCAUGUGAGGACACCAUGGGAAGGCAGCCACCUGCAAGCCAAGGAGAGGGGCCUCGGGAGAAACCAGCCCUGCUGACACCCUGAGCUCCUUGCAAUUCCAGCCUCCUAGACUGUGAGAAAAUACACUUGUGUUAUUUAA